rnacentral:rRNA from 1 species
GGUUAAGUGACUAAGCGUACACGGUGGAUGCCUUGGCAGUCAGAGGCGAUGAAAGACGUAGUAACUUGCGAUAAGCCCAGAUUAGGUAGUAACAACCAUUUGAGUCUGGGAUUUCUGAAUGGGGAAACCCACUUACAUAAGUAAGUAUCGUUAUGUGAAUACAUAGCAUAACGAGGCGAACCGGGGGAACUGAAACAUCUAAGUACCCCGAGGAAAAGAAAUCAACCGAGAUUCCGAAAGUAGCGGCGAGCGAAAUUGGACUAGCCCUUAAGCUUUACACGCGUUAGACGAACGGUCUGGAAAGUCCGACGAUACAGGGUGAUAGUCCCGUAGUUGACGACGUGUGUUCAGUGAAAUCGAGUAGGGCGGGACACGUGAUAUCCUGUCUGAAUAUGGGGGGACCAUCCUCCAAGGCUAAAUACUACUGACUGACCGAUAGUGAACCAGUACCGUGAGGGAAAGGCGAAAAGAACCCCUGUGAGGGGAGUGAAAUAGAACCUGAAACCGUGUACGUACAAGCAGUAGGAGCAGGCUUUGUCCUGUGACUGCGUACCUUUUGUAUAAUGGGUCAGCGACUUAUAUUCAGUGGCAAGGUUAACCAUCUAGGGGAGCCGUAGGGAAACCGAGUCUUAACUGGGCGUUCAGUCUCUGGAUAUAGACCCGAAACCAGGUGAUCUAGCCAUGGGCAGGUUGAAGGUUGAGUAACAUCAACUGGAGGACCGAACCGACUAAUGUUGAAAAAUUAGCGGAUGACUUGUGGCUAGGGGUGAAAGGCCAAUCAAACCUGGAGAUAGCUGGUUCUCCCCGAAAGCUAUUUAGGUAGCGCCUCGGACGAAUACUACUGGGGGUAGAGCACUGUUAAGGCUAGGGGGUCAUCCCGACUUACCAACCCUUUGCAAACUCCGAAUACCAGUAAGUACUAUCCGGGAGACACACGGCGGGUGCUAACGUCCGUCGUGGAGAGGGAAACAACCCAGACCGCCAGCUAAGGUCCCAAAUUACUACUAAGUGGGAAACGAUGUGGGAAGGCUCAGACAGCCAGGAUGUUGGCUUAGAAGCAGCCAUCAUUUAAAGAAAGCGUAAUAGCUCACUGGUCGAGUCGGCCUGCGCGGAAGAUGUAACGGGGCUAAGUAGUAAACCGAAGCUGCGGCAAUGUGCUUUUGCACAUUGGGUAGGGGAGCGUUCUGUAAGCGGUUGAAGGUGUGUGGUAACGCAUGCUGGACGUAUCAGAAGUGCGAAUGCUGACAUGAGUAACGAUAAAGGGGGUGAAAAACCUCCUCGCCGGAAGACCAAGGGUUCCUGUCCAACGUUAAUCGGGGCAGGGUAAGUCGACCCCUAAGGCGAGGCCGAAAGGCGUAGUCGAUGGGAAACGGGUUAAUAUUCCCGUACUUCUUACAAUUGCGAUGGGGGGACGGAGAAGGCUAGGUGGGCCUGGCGACGGUUGUC